rnacentral:rRNA from 1 species
UACGUAGGAGGCAAACGUUGUUCGGAUUUACUGGGCGUAAAGGGUGAGUAGGCGGAGCAGUAAGUCAUUGGUGAAAGACUGGGGCUUAACCCCAGGAACGCCUUUGAUACUACUGUUCUCGAGUGCGAUAGAGGAUGGUGGAAUUCCCGGUGUAAGGGUGGAAUCUGUAGAUAUCGGGAGGAACAUCGAUGGCGAAGGCAGCCAUCUGGGUCGCUACUGACGCUGAAUCACGAGAGCUGGAGGAG